rnacentral:lncRNA from 1 species
UAUUAAUUAGUAAUGAUAUUUAGUAACAAGUGCUGCUAGUUUAUUAUAUUUAGCGGCAUUCACUAAUUUAUACUGCUAAUUUAUCCUAUUUUGCAACAUUAAUAGUAAAUUAUUGCUAAAUAAUUAAAUCUAGUGGCAAUUAUCAAGUAAUGCUGCUAAAUAUAUUAAUUUGCAUGAUUUAAAUAAAUAUUGCGGAACAAAUAUUGCGGCAUUUAGCAAUAAGUUCUGCUACUUUAUUACUUUUAAUGUCAUUUUUUAUAGAAUGUUGAAAACUUCGGUGACAUUCACUAAUUAUGCUGCUAAUUUAUUCUAUUUUGCAACAUUAAUAGUAAGUUGUUGCUAAAUUAUUAAAUCUAGAGGCACUUAUCAAAUAAUGCUGUUAAAUAUAUUAAUUAGCGUUAUUUAAAUAAAUGUUACGGAGUAAAUGCCGCUAAAUCAUGAAUUUGUAGUAGUGGAUAUAGCUAGCC